ACAUACAUACAUGUAUGUGUGCAUAUGUAGCGACAGUAGUGCGCGCCAACGACUAUUUAUGUAUGCAUGUAGUAGGUGUCACAGUAGUAAGUCGGUCAGCUCAACUGUCAAAUAAAAUUUGUCAUGCCGUCAAACUAAGCUCAACCCCAAAACCGCAAAGAAACAAAUAAAAUAACAAACACACGCAAGCAAUGGCAAGCAAUCAAAAAAAAUCGGCAUACGAUCAUAUAUAUGCCAGCACGUACAUAUGUGUGUCUGUAUGUGUGACUUGUUAGCUCAAAUGAGCGCUUAAGACACGCCCCAGAGUGCGCGCCUAAGAGUAUACUUGCAACUAAGCGCAACACAUGCACACAAACACGGUGCGAACACGCUCUUCCUGAGACGAAGAGUUCAAAGAUGAAAAAAAGUCUCCACUUUUUAGCGCUCCAACAGCUCUUAAGCUUUCAAGCCAUGGCUUACGCUCAGCGCUUAACUAUUGUGCGCUCUAGACACUCGCUUUCAUACUCUUUCAGCUGCUCUGUGGCAUAAUGACGAGUUGUCAGGCGCAGCGAUUGCUCAGUUUUUAAGUUUCACUGUGUCAACGCUGAUCGUGCCAAUCAGUAGCCGUUCACGAGGCGUUUCGACGUCGGCACUUUGUUGGUGUUGGCUUAGAAAAACCCUUCUUGUACUCAAGUGACUGUUUGUGAAUCGUGUUCAAGUCAAAUUUUGUGUUGGAAAUUUUAUAAGUUAGUGAGUUUUAUAAGUUACCAAAAAUAUGGAGGAAAUUUUAUUUGCAAACCAAUUGAAUCCGCAAGGCGUAUUUAAGAGACGCCACCGCCGUUAAGCCGCUGCCAAGCAAGCCUACAAUGGAUUUGCCAGAAGCAACAACAAAACCCACAUACACACGACUAGUAAUGUGUUGUGAGAGUUGCGCUCAUAUCUGCCGUGGUAGCAGCGCUUUAGAAAAAAUGCCGAAUUCCAGAAGCGACUACUAAACAAUCAAUUGGAUUACAAAAAUAGUACGCUUAGGCGACGAUAUUAUCAGUAUUGCGAGCAAGCACUGCAGCUGGACGCUGGACGUAGGGAAAUGUGUGGCUAAGCAAGCAUAAGAAGAAGAAGAGGAGUGGCAACAGUGGGCGCAACAUGCAACUAAGUAGAGGAUGAGGUUGACUAUUGAAAUUAAGAGGGCAUAAGUUGAGCUGAACCACCACGACGGGUGACACACACAUGCGCAUAUGCGCGCGUAUGUUGGUAUGUGUGCACGCGCGCGUUACCUUUGAAGCGCGACGCAUAACAAAGCGCAAAGUAAGGAGACGAGCAGUCAACGCGCAACGCGUUGUGCUACCGCAUGCGCGCACCCGUGCGCCGCCCAUGCCGCUAUAUGCACAAACGUAACGAAGUAACGAAAUAUUUCUGUGGUACGCGCCCGCAAAACUGCACAAAGGUGAAUACAAUGCGGAAUGCUUUCUAAGAUUCUUGUCGUGGCUGAGUAAAUGCAUUUCGAAUAUUCGUUGUUGGCGGCAUUGACGCAAUAAGCAACAAUUGCGCAGCGCUGACUGGCUAACUGCCGCGCGCUGGCAGGCAGAUGAGUCAACAGUAUCAACAGCAGCUACAACAACAACAACAACAACUUAAAGCAACAAUAACAACAAUAGCAUAAAGGCACGUAGCUGCCGUAGUGGUCGAAAAAUCAUACGCCUAGUCAAAGGAUAAUGCUUCUCGGUGGUGGUGGCGGCGGCCAGCAAACGCGUGCCGUUGUUUUUCAAAUGCUUUGGAUGCUGCCGCCAACGCCGCCGCCGUCAUCGCGUUCGCUAACUGCCACGCAAUUAAAUUUACGAAUGCUGCCAAUGUAAAAGCGCACGUGGUCACCAAAUAGUCGGGAGGCCUUAUACAUACAUUAAAAAACGUACGAAAUUAACGAAAAAGCAAUGAAAUGCCACAAGGCGCGGGGGCGCGUCGGCGCAUGAUACGCAAUGCAAGUCGCGCUGCUGCUGCUACUGCUGUUUGUAUGAAAAGGGCGCGCAUGUGAAGGCGGUCAGCUGAAGGUUGGUUGUAGGGCGUGCGCCGGAAAUUUAGAUGCGCAAUCCAUAGCCAUACAAAUGCGCAUAUAUUUAUUGAAUGUGUGUAUGUGUAUGUGUGUACGACGUCAUGCGAAUUAGCUGCAGCUGCGCGGUGGAAGUUCAAUGCUUCCGCGCUUAGAUAAAACAAAUGGCGGUUGACUUCAAAUUGUAGCGGCAUAUAUUACACUCACACGCACACUAUAUAAUAUAUACAUACAUACAUUUACGAGCUUAUGGAAAACGUUUAUUGCUACUGCGCGCCAGUUGUUGACAGUUGAUAUUUUUUGGGAGCAAAUUUUUAAUUUUCAAAAAUAAAAAUGAAUUUAUGAAGUAAUAGAGAAAAAUUAGAGAACAAAAUAAAAAAAAAGAAAUAAAAAAAAAUAAAAAAAAUAACAAAAAAUUUUGAAAAGAAAAUGAAAAAAAUUAUAAAAAGUAAAAGAGUAAAAUAAAAAAUUAAUUUAAAAUACACAAAAAAACUUUUAAUUGAAUAAAUAACUAAUAAGAAUAAAUAAUAAAAUGUAAGCGUAAAAUUUUAAUAAAAUUAAAAGAAAAACUGAUAAUAAAAAUAUAUAAAAGUUAAAACAACAAAAAAUAUUAAAUAAAAAUAUUAUAAAUAAAAAUUUAUAGAAACAAAAAACUUAAUUAAUAAAAACAUUGUUUUGAAGAAGAAAAUUAUAAAAACAAUAAAAAAACACUAAAUAAAAAUCAAAAUAAUACCAAAUAAAAAAAAAAUAUAAAACAAAAUAAUAAAAAAUUAUUUCGCAUAAAAAAUAAAAAUUAUAACAACAACAAAAAACUAAAUUAAUAAAAAUGUUCCGAAUAAAAAGUAAAAAAAAAAGACUCAAGCCACAAUUAGAGAAAAUAAUAAUAGAAAUAAUACCGAAUAAAAAUAUUACAUAAACAAUAAAAAAAAACUAAAUUAAAAACAAAAUAAUUCCAUAUACAAAAAUUUUAACAACAAAAUAAAUUUAAAUAAAAAAUAAUAGUUUCGAAAAAAAUAUAAAAACAAUAGCAACAAAAAAAAGUUAAUGAAAAAAGGAAUAUAAACAUAAUUAAAAAAAACUUUUGUUUUGUAAAAAUUAUAUAAGCAGGGUUAUAAAAAAAAUUGAAAAAAAUAUAGCAAUAAAAAAAUUUAUAAAUAAAAAAUAAUAAUUUCGAAUAAAAAU